CACGUGGGAACGUGCCUUUAGGUUCGGAAUAGCUCCUGGAAACGGGUGGUAAUGCCGAAUGUGCCCUUCGGGGGAAAGAUUUAUCGCCUUUAGAGCGGCCCGCGUCUGAUUAGCUAGUUGGUGAGGUAAUGGCUCACCAAGGCGACGAUCAGUAGCUGGUCUGAGAGGAUGAUCAGCCACAUUGGGACUGAGACACGGCCCAAACUCCUACGGGAGGCAGCAGUGGGGAAUCUUGCGCAAUGGGCGAAAGCCUGACGCAGCCAUGCCGCGUGAAUGAUGAAGGUCUUAGGAUUGUAAAAUUCUUUCACCGGGGACGAUAAUGACGGUACCCGGAGAAGAAGCCCCGGCUAACUUCGUGCCAGCAGCCGCGGUAAUACGAAGGGGGCUAGCGUUGCUCGGAAUUACUGGGCGUAAAGGGCGCGUAGGCGGAUCGUUAAGUCAGAGGUGAAAUCCCAGGGCUCAACCCUGGAACUGCCUUUGAUACUGGCGAUCUUGAGUGUGAGAGAGGUAUGUGGAACUCCGAGUGUAGAGGUGAAAUUCGUAGAUAUUCGGAAGAACACCAGUGGCGAAGGCGACAUACUGGCUCAUUACUGACGCUGAGGCGCGAAAGCGUGGGGAGCAAACAGGAUUAGAUACCCUGGUAGUCCACGCCGUAAACGAUGAUUGCUAGUUGUCGGGCUGCAUGCAGUUCGGUGACGCAGCUAACGCAUUAAGGCAAUCCGCCUGGG
rnacentral:rRNA from 1 species